UACGGAGGGUGCAAGCGUUAAUCGGCAUUAAUGGGCCUAAAGCGCGCGUAGGUGGCUUGAUAAGCCGGUUGUGAAAGCCCCGGGCUCAACCUGGGAACGGCAUCCGGAACUGUCAACCUAAAGUGCAGGAGAGGAAGGUAGAAUUCCCGGUGUGGCGGUGAAAUGCGUAGAGAUCGGGAGGAAUACCAGUGGCGAAGGCGGCCUUCUGGACUGACACUGACACUGAGGUGCGAAAGCGUGGGUAGCAAACAGG
rnacentral:misc_RNA from 1 species